AGGAUGAACGCUAGCUACAGGCUUAACACAUGCAAGUCGAGGGGCAGCAUGGGAUAGCUUGCUAUUCAGAUGGCGACCGGCGCACGGGUGAGUAACGCGUAUCCAACCUUCCUGCCAGUAGGGAACAGCCCGGCGAAAGUCGGAUUAAUGCCCUAUGUUCUUCAAUGCGGACAUCUAAGUUGAAGGAAAGAUUCAUCGCUGGCAGAUGGGGAUGCGUCCGAUUAGCUUGCCGGCGGGGUAACGGCCCACCGGGGCGACGAUCGGUAGGGGUUCUGAGAGGAAGGUCCCCCACACUGGUACUGAGACACGGACCAGACUCCUACGGGAGGCAGCAGUGAGGAAUAUUGGUCAAUGGGCGUAAGCCUGAACCAGCCAAGUAGCGUGCAAGGAUGACGGCCCUACGGGUUGUAAACUGCUUUUAUGCGGGGAUAAAGUGCGGCACGUGUGCCGCUUUGCAGGUACCGCAUGAAUAAGGACCGGCUAAUUCCGUGCCAGCAGCGGC
rnacentral:rRNA from 1 species